GCGGGGGUUCCCGAGGGGCCAAAGGGGCGGGACUCAAGAUCCUGUGGCUCAGGCCUUCGUGGGUUCGAAUCCCACCCCCCGCA
rnacentral:tRNA from 1 species